rnacentral:lncRNA from 1 species
CUCACCAAAUUCCCCAAAAAAUUAUAACACACUUAGAACCGUGAAGAAAGCCAAAGGCAGGAUUCUAAAAGCUUUACUCUCUUUCUCAACUCUGAAAUUUUAUCACCUAAAUCGCUCACGACGAUCGCCAUUUUCCAGUCGCCCAAGCUGGUUGCCGAUCUCCCACAUCCAGUCAAUGGUGAAUCUCUUCCAAUUUUUGCAAGAAUCACAUCGAAGUGGUAGCUAUUGAUGGUCAGUUCUUGAAUUUUUUCAAUAACUUUGUUAUUUCUUUAAUUUUUUCAUGGGCUUUUCGUUAUUUGAUGUGUUCCAUUGUUGAUUAAUGUGUUAAAAAAUUAGUAUAAUUUAUAGUGAGGGUGAUGGGUUUCUUCUGACUGCUUUAAGGUUAUUAACAGUUCAAUGAUUUUUAUGCAAUGUUUGGUUGUUUAAUUACUGUGUUAACUGUAGGAAAAAAGAAUGUUCGAAGAUGAUCAAAUAAAAGAUGCAACUAAGCUAACUUAGACUUCUCAAUUUGGUAGUGAUCAGGUAUUAUAUAUUCUGUGGUGAAUUAUGUUAAAAAAGGGUUGUAUGUCAUAACAUUUAUUAACUUCUUAUCUUUGAUAUUAUAUUUCUACACUGUUCAAUUACUCAUAGAUCUUGAAUUGUAUUCACAAGAACUUUUAAUUUCUCAAUAACUAAUGAUAUUUAAUGAAAAUGUGAGCCCCACUUCCACUUCCAAAUCCCAAUUUUAGUUUACAAAUUUGUUGUUUUCACAAAUUUAAGGAUUCCUUACAGUUUACAAUCUUUGAACCGGUUAGGUAUCCUAGGACCUAAGAGAAGUUCGACGAUGCAAUCUGGGAGUUGAAAACAUCUUUCGAUAAUUGGUUUUUGUGUUUACUUCUCUUGACUUUCUUAUAGGCUUCGCUAGUUCACCCAACAAAAGAAAACUUACUAUUUUAAACAUUUUGCUCUAUUUGUUUUCCAUAAAAGGGAAGGAAAAUAAGGAGAAUGUGUAGGGAAAGAAGUGGAACAAAAUAAAACCAAGGACAAAAUCUGUGAACCCAAUAGGAAUUGGAGAAUAUGUACCUUGUCGACUUUUGAUGUGUGUCAACUAAAAUAAUUGUAGUAUGCCCAACCGAUAGCUAUUUUUCAUCCUAUCACAUUUCCCCCUUUUUUAUGUGAAGAAGGAAUGAACAUUAAACAUUCGCUCCUCUUGUUUCAUUAUUACUUCUGUUAUACUCUAAACAUUGGAGUAGGCAUGCAAGAUUCAGUUGACUUUUAAUGAGAAUCUUGCUUAUAACAUGAAUAGCUUUCAAAAAUAAGGUCUUGAUCUGCUUUACUACCAUGGUGCAUAAUGUUUUCAGUCAUUCAAUUAUUCUUGUAGCCCUAAACUUUGAUUAUGCUUACUAUCAUUAGCGUCUCUCAUGUAAUAAAAAUGAAGAUUGCCAUACUUUGACAGCUUGAAUACAUGUCUGAAGGUAUUUUAGUGUUAUUCAUAUAAUUAUCCUGGAUUAUUGCUCUUUGAUUUUAUAUAUUGGCAAUAUCUUUGACUCUUAGUUGGUCAAUUUCAUGGUGACUUUUUUAAAAAGGUUUGUAAUCGUUUUAAAUUCCAAACUGGAUAAUUGGCAAUGCACUGCUUGGUGUAAUUUUCAAACCAUUGUCAUUUAGAAAUUUCCAAUUGGUGUUACGAUUAAUAAUUGUCAAGCCACUGUCAUAUGGUUUUGUGUGUUAGUUUUUAUGAAUAUAUCAUAUUUGCAUUCGAGUUAACAAAUACGUCAUGACUUACCCCUUUCUUUACCUAAAACAAAUAUAAAAUUGACGAACCCACAAUCCACGAUCAUAUAAUGCAAUUCAAGUUGUCAAUAUUUUACCUCAAAUUACUUAAGAAAUACAUAGGAUCGAUGUCCAUUUUAGGUAUGGAGUUUAUGGGGAAGGAGGGUUAGGGCUAGCGAAUGAUGCUUUCUGCUUCAAGUUCUGUUGUAAUGUUACUUUGAUAGUUUUCUUCUUCGGUAUUAUUUUUUUUAGUGUAAUAUGUGGUUUAGUUUGGUUUCAUUUUGCAAGUGCUUGGAUUUGAGAAGCCAAAAUUGAUUUUCUAAUAUUUGGUUUAGUUUGCAAGUGCUUGAUUUUGUGCUCUUCUUCGUAUGCUAAUUUCGUGAAUCAUAGAGCUUCUCAUGCUAUGCAUUUUCUUAUGCAGUUGUAAUUCUUAUUUUUCUAAAUGAUGCUCAAGGUACACGAGCAAUCUCGAAAAUAAGUGUGUAAAGGCAAGAAUGAAGUUGCAUGGCACAAUCCUUAGUCUUGCAUUAAAAUUAACUGUUAGCUAGAUGCUAAAAUGAGUUGAACGAUUUUUGCCCUGUCAUGUAAAUGCCUACAUGUGAACUCUCUUUGUCUUCUAUAUAUAUAUUUAUUGUCCGUUGUUACCUUUUUGAUUUCUUUGUCCAAUUAUAUAAGAAUGCUGCUACAUUAUUUAAUUACUCGGGGUUACACCUUUCAAUGUUGGAAAACAUGAUGGCAUUAUUUGUCUUUGUGAUUUCAUAUAUUUAUUAUGUUAUUUUAUGUACUUAAUAGAUUCUUAUAUUAUUUGUUAUAUUCUUUUUUUUAUUCGUAGAUAACUUCGUCACACCGAUACAACAUUCAGGAGGAAGAGCACGUUUCGGCCCAGAUUUCACAGAUUAGCAACACCAAAUAUAUAUCAAUUGUCCUUGGCAAAGCUAAAACACAACAGAAGACUAUGUUGAGGAAAGCUAUUUAGGACAUGUUGCGAAGUUGCUCGAGCUCAAAUUAUCUGCACAAUUAGUUCAUGAAAUGGUUAAUAGAUCAGGGAUUUGCCAAAAACCUUUUGAGGCUUGGUUCAAGGUGAAUCAACGGUUUACAAGAUUUGGAAUGCUGGAGUUUGCACUAAUCACCAACUUGAAGUGUGGUGAAUUCCUUAAAUGAUCGGCUUCCAAUAAUAUUCUAGAGAAAACUCGGUUAUGGGACAAAAUGUUUACCAAUAGAGAACGGAUAACUUGUAGUGAUCUUGAGAAGUGAAAUGUGCCAACUGUAAUGCUCGUUACAAGCUUGGGUUGGUACAAACUAUUGAAGGGAUUUUCAAUUCGAGAGUUCGAAAUAUAAGGAUUCAUUUUGAAACUCUCUUUAUUGUAGACGAAUUAGAUUUCUUCAAUGCCUAUCCACGGAGGACAGUGUGCUUUAUACUUCUUAUCAAAUCACUGCUCCGUGGAUGGGAGAGAAUGGCGACUUGGCAAAGGUCAACGAUUGUGAUAGGAUAUCCUACACGUUGUGGGGAUUCCCUCUUGCUAUUUAGGUAUGUCCAUAUAUUUCAUUCAUAUUCAUUUCACAUUGUUAUUUAUGUCUGUAAAUGGUAACCACUAUUAUACAUGUGUUGCAGUUGUGGGUGUACGAGGUAAUCUCAAAGAUGAGAGCUCGAUUAACGAGCAAGAUUAGUGAUGGCCUUUCGAGGAAGUUGUGGUGAUCUACCACAAGACAAUCUCAAUCGAGAACAUAUUCAGAUUUUUUCGACAAGACACUUGUGAGCAUUUACAUAUACAACUGCCUUUACGCUUACAGCAAAUAUCAUAAUUUUCUUCGACAAGACACUUUCCUCCCUUUGUAGUUGCAUUUGUCGGUAACUUUGCGCCAUACUGCUGAAGAAGAAUUGCAGUCAUACUUUGCUACGUUACUUCUAUUGGACGAUGUUGCGACCCUGUUCUCGACAAUCUCGUCGUUCAAUCAACUGAAAUACAAGAUUGCUUACUAGAAAGCAAAGUGAUACGCAAUGGAGAGAAUAGCAACCGAUGCAACAAAUCCAGGAGAGCUAACACAUGUGGGAUUCAUCUUUGGGAUUUCAGUGAUACUGAAGGUAGAGAAGAAGAGCAUUGCAAUCCAAUCUAGGACUUUCCAUCCACUUAUGGCUUGGAAAAUCGCGAACCAUGUAUAUAGAUGAGAUAGAGCCAUGUUGACUGAAAUGCAAGGUUCAAUCGUAUUGAGUAGAAAAUGGGGGAUCACAUGUGUAACAUGAAGGAGCAUGUGACUGAUUAGAUAAGUGUGAUCAAAUGCAGGUUCGAGGAUGUGGUUACAAAAAUUGGGAAACAAUAUGUGUGUGAAGAGUAUGGUGUAUUUGGUUGUGCUAACGAUGAUGGAGAUAUGUAUGUACUUGAUUACUAUGAUGAUUUGUCGUCUUCUAACACUACGAUUGACCAAUAGCAUGUCGAGGCAACAAAAGUACAUGCUAUCAAUGUCGAUGCAACCUAACUAGAUGUUGGCAAUGUGGGUGAGUUGUCCAAAAAGUGCAGAUGUUAUUUCUACAAAUGCUCUACUGCCACCUCGACCUCCAUCGCUCGGGGUGAAGCUGCCAAGUGCUAGCACUCAGACUUCUUUAACAUCGUCCGAUUGUAAGAAAGGUGUGUAGUUAGUUCACAAUGUUGGUGGAGCAUGGUAUUGUGCGUUUGGGAAAGCAUAUAUAACCCCAUUUUGUAUACCAUCGUAAGGUAGAUUGUUUGGUUGAUGGAACAGUUCUCAUUGUUGAUGUAGAAUUAAAUUGGAGAUGAGUAUUUAUUUUAGUCUAUACUUAUUGUUUAGAACUUAUAUCGUGCACACAUUUUGGAACGAUCGUUCUUGAUAGUUGAAAUGUCAGUUGACGAGAAUAACAGGUAUUUAAUGAAAAGAACAUCACUUCAAAU